CGGCUAACUACGUGCCAGCAGCCGCGGUAAUACGUAGGUGGCAAGCGUUGUCCGGAUUUACUGGGCGUAAAGAGUAUGUAGGUGGGUGCUUAAGUCAGAUGUGAAAUUCCCGGGCUUAACCUGGGCGCUGCAUUUGAAACUGGGCAUCUAGAGUGCAGGAGAGGAAAGUGGAAUUCCUAGUGUAGCGGUGAAAUGCGUAGAGAUUAGGAAGAACACCAGUGGCGAAGGCGACUUUCUGGACUGUAACUGACACUGAGAUACGAAAGCGUGGGUAGCAAACAGGAUUAGAUACCCUGGUAGUCCACGCCGUAAACGAUGAAUACUAGGUGUCGGGGGGUACCACCCUCGGUGCCGCAGCAAACGCAUUAAGUAUUCCGCCUGGGGAGUACGGUCGCAAGAUUAAAACUCAAAGGAAUUGACGGGGACCCGCACAAGCAGCGGAGCAUGUGGUUUAAUUCGAAGCAACGCGAAGAACCUUACCUAGACUUGACAUCUCCUGAAUUACUCUUAAUCGAGGAAGUCCCUUCGGGGACAGGAAGACAGGUGGUGCAUGGUUGUCGUCAGCUCGUGUCGUGAGAUGUUGGGUUAAGUCCCGCAACGAGCGCAACCCUUAUUGUUAGUUGCUACUAUUAAGUUAAGCACUCUAACGAGACUGCCGCGGUUAACGUGGAGGAAGGUGGGGAUGACGUCAAAUCAUCAUGCCCCUUAUGUCUAGGGCUACACACGUGCUACAAUGGCUGGUACAACGAGCAGCAAACCCGCGAGGGGGAGCAAAACUUGAAAGCCAGUCCCAGUUCGGAUUGUAGGCUGAAACUCGCCUACAUGAAGUUGGAGUUGCUAGUAAUCGCGAAUCAGCAUGUCGCGGUGAAUACGUUCCCGGGUCUUGUACACACCGCCCGUCACACCAUGAGAGCCGGUAACACCCGAAGCCCGUGAGGUAACCGUAAGGAGCCAGCGGUCGAAGGUGGGAUUGGUGAUUGGGGUGAAGUCGUAACAAGGUAGCCGUAGGAGAACCUGCGGCUGGAUCACCUCCUUUCUAGGGA
rnacentral:rRNA from 1 species